AAAUUGAAGAGUUUGAUCAUGGCUCAGAUUGAACGCUGGCGGCAGGCCUAACACAUGCAAGUCGAGCGGUAGCACAGAGAGCUUGCUCUCGGGUGACGAGCGGCGGACGGGUGAGUAAUGUCUGGGAAACUGCCUGAUGGAGGGGGAUAACUACUGGAAACGGUAGCUAAUACCGCAUAACGUCGCAAGACCAAAGUGGGGGACCUUCGGGCCUCAUGCCAUCAGAUGUGCCCAGAUGGGAUUAGCUAGUAGGUGGGGUAACGGCUCACCUAGGCGACGAUCCCUAGCUGGUCUGAGAGGAUGACCAGCCACACUGGAACUGAGACACGGUCCAGACUCCUACGGGAGGCAGCAGUGGGGAAUAUUGCACAAUGGGCGCAAGCCUGAUGCAGCCAUGCCGCGUGUGUGAAGAAGGCCUUCGGGUUGUAAAGCACUUUCAGCGGGGAGGAAGGCGGUGAGGUUAAUAACCUCAUCGAUUGACGUUACCCGCAGAAGAAGCACCGGCUAACUCCGUGCCAGCAGCCGCGGUAAUACGGAGGGUGCAAGCGUUAAUCGGAAUUACUGGGCGUAAAGCGCACGCAGGCGGUCUGUCAAGUCGGAUGUGAAAUCCCCGGGCUUAACCUGGGAACUGCAUUCGAAACUGGCAGGCUAGAGUCUUGUAGAGGGGGGUAGAAUUCCAGGUGUAGCGGUGAAAUGCGUAGAGAUCUGGAGGAAUACCGGUGGCGAAGGCGGCCCCGACAAAGACUGACGCUCAGGUGCGAAAGCGUGGGGAGCAAACAGGAUUAGAUACCCGGUAGUCCACGCCGUAAACGAUGUCGAUUUGGAGGUUGUGCCCUUGAGGCGUGGCUUCCGGAGCUAACGCGUUAAAUCGACCGCCUGGGGAGUACGGCCGCAAGGUUAAAACUCAAAUGAAUUGACGGGGGCCCGCACAAGCGGUGGAGCAUGUGGUUUAAUUCGAUGCAACGCGAAGAACCUUACCUGGUCUUGACAUCCACAGAACUUUCCAGAGAUGGAUUGGUGCCUUCGGGAACUGUGAGACAGGUGCUGCAUGGCUGUCGUCAGCUCGUGUUGUGAAAUGUUGGGUUAAGUCCCGCAACGAGCGCAACCCUUAUCCUUUGUUGCCAGCGGUCCGGCCGGGAACUCAAAGGAGACUGCCAGUGAUAAACUGGAGGAAGGUGGGGAUGACGUCAAGUCAUCAUGGCCCUUACGACCAGGGCUACACACGUGCUACAAUGGCAUAUACAAAGAGAAGCGACCUCGCGAGAGCAAGCGGACCUCAUAAAGUAUGUCGUAGUCCGGAUUGAGUCUGCAACUCGACUCCAUGAAGUCGGAAUCGCUAGUAAUCGUAGAUCAGAAUGCUACGGUGAAUACGUUCCCGGGCCUUGUACACACCGCCCGUCACACCAUGGGAGUGGGUUGCAAAAGAAGUAGGUAGCUUAACCUUCGGGAGGGCGCUUACCACUUUGUGAUUCAUGACUGGGGUGAAGUCGUAACAAGGUAACCGUAGGGGAACCUGCGGUUGGAUCACCUCCUUACCUUAAAGAA
rnacentral:rRNA from 1 species